rnacentral:rRNA from 1 species
UCAGACGAUGCGUCAUGCAUAUCAAUAAGCGGAGGAAAAGAAACUAACAAGGAUUCCCCUAGUAACGGCGAGUGAAGCGGGAAGAGCUCAAAUUUGAAAUCUUAAAGGGUUUCCCUUUACGAAUUGUAGUUUAAAGAAGUGUUUUCUGUUGAGGUUUUGGUAAAAGUUCUUUGGAAUAGGACAUCAUAGAGGGUGAGAAUCCCGUAUUUGACCUUUACUUUCAACUUUGUGAUACACUUUCAAAGAGUCGGAUUGUUUGGGAAUGCAGUCCAAAAUGGGUGGUAAAUUUCAUCUAAAGCUAAAUAUUGGCGAGAGACCGAUAGCGAACAAGUACCGUGAGGGAAAGAUGAAAAGAACUUUGAAAAGAGAGUUAAACAGUACGUGAAAUUGUCAAAAGGGAAGCGUUUGACACCAGUGUUGUUUUUCUGAAAAUCAAUUAAAGAACUGUUUAUGCUAAGUUGUUUAGACUUUAUCAGCUAACUGUUUAGUUUUGAGCUUUUCUUUAAUGCACUUUUCAGUUAACAAGUCAACAUCAAUUUCUUUUGCUGUAAAAAAGCUUGAGGAAGGUGGCUUGAGAUUCGUCUUAAGUGUUUAUAGCCUCUUGCCUAUGCAGUCGGAGAGAUUGAGGUCUGCAGCGUAGAUCCUUCGGGGCUAAAUGCAUUUGUGCUAAGUUAUAGCAUUUUAUAGACAACUUGUUGACUAUGAUUUGUCUUGUAGCUUACUCGCUUAUGUUAUUUUACCUACGCUUAGGAUGUUGAAUCUGUGCGAGACUAC